GGAGCUGCUCCUAGUACGAGAGGACCGGAGUGGACGAACCGCUGGUGUUCGGGUUGUCAUGCCAAUGGCAUUGCCCGGUAGCUAUGUUCGGAACGGAUAACCGCUGAAAGCAUCUAAGCGGGAAGCCGGCCCAAAGAUGAGUCAUCCCUGAACUUUAAGUUCUGGAAGGGUUGUUAUAGACGAUGACGUUGAUAGGCAGGGUGUGGAAGCGUUGUAAGGCGUUAAGCUAACCUGUACUAAUUGCCCG
rnacentral:rRNA from 1 species